rnacentral:rRNA from 1 species
AGAUUGAACGCUGGCGGCAUGCCUUACACAUGCAAGUCGAACGGCAGCACGGGAGCAAUCCUGGUGGCGAGUGGCGAACGGGUGAGUAAUAUAUCGGAACGUGCCCAGUCGUGGGGGAUAACGCAGCGAAAGCUGUGCUAAUACCGCAUACGAUCUAUGGAUGAAAGCGGGGGAUCGCAAGACCUCGCGCGAUUGGAGCGGCCGAUAUCAGAUUAGCUAGUUGGUAGGGUAAAGCCUACCAAGGCGACGAUCUGUAGCUGGUCUGACGAGGACGACAGCCACACUAGGAACUGAGACACGGCCCAGACCUCCGUAGGGAGCAGCAGUGGGAAUUUGGACAAGUACGGGGAAACCUGAUC